GAUUAUUACAUUUUAGAAAUAAAAUAAAAGUGCAACAAUGACAGAUUGGUUCCCCUUCAUUAACGAUGAGGCAGUAUCUAUCAUACAUACAUGAAACAUAAACUUCACUCUUUUCAUCAGCUACAGCUGCAUGCAGGCUUGCAUGUGUGCGUGUGUCUGUUCUAAAACACAACAAGGCAGCACCUACCUCUUUCGACAGGGGCCGAAUCACUCUCGCCCGCUGCGUUGCUGGCAGUGAUGAGAACGCUGCCAUGAGGGACUUCAGUCAGGCUGCAGGUGAGCUCAGUGAGGUUGCACAAUUGGCUCGGGGGCGCCGUCCGGUUGUCGUACACCGUGUAGUAGGUGGCGAACACAGAGUCGUACCAUGAGAGGACGGCUGAGGCAGUACUGCCUCUGAAAGUCACGUUUGCAGGCGAACAUGGAGCUGGGUGGAGGAAAUAUAUAAAAGAGGGCGGGCAGGGAAUUGUUGGUUUGUUAGUGGUUGGUGGCUUCAAGUGAUUGCUAUUUUGGAUGGACGUUGAACAUGCUUGAGUUAUUAUUCAGUUGUAUCAUAUCUGAUCCGGAAAUAUCCUAUUCGUAAAAUAGGUGUAUUCUAGAACCAAUUGAAUACACAGCUUUAAACAUUUCUGCAACAAUCAAACCCAGCCAUUUCAUUUCAUAAAUGCAUUCAUACACUGACUAACCUGGAAAGGCUGUGAUGGAGACGUUUAAUACUAUUUUAUCUUGUACAUUUGAAUACAUUCACACUCAAACUCUCUAUCUAUUUUGUUUAAUCCUCUGAAGGCAAAGGCUUGGUUGGGGAAAGCCAUGUACCUGUAGUUCCAUUUAAAGCCUCAGAUGGCGCACUGGUGCCAGCGGGUCCUCUGCCCUGCACCAUAGCCAGGUAGGAUGAGCCGCAGGGGAGGGGCAUUUCAAAAAAGGUUGAGUUUGUCCAAUAUGAAGAGAGCUCAAACUGUGCUUGGCUGUCCCCUAAUAUGCUGCCAGUCAAGAUCAGCUGGUACUGGACAUCUGGACAUGCAACCUGGGACCACUCAAAAUGCAGUGUCUGGACUGCACUUUCCAUGGGCAACAGCUGCACCUGAAGAUCUUCUGGAGGACAUGGGACUGGGCCAGACAGACAGCAAAUCGACUUUGAACAUAUGUAAAAAAAAAAGCACUGGCUCACUGAUGGAGCGGUUGCAAGUCCCGUCAGAGGCCUGGACGGAGAAGUUAUACUGGGAUCCACACUGGAGGCCGCCCAUGGUGCAGGUGGGCUCUGAGCUGCUGUUACAGAACAGCAUGUGGCCUGCCUCGUUCUCAGCAGAGGCUGAGUAUCCCACCACAUCACCAACGGGGGUCCAGGAGAGCACUGCCGACUGA
rnacentral:lncRNA from 1 species